rnacentral:rRNA from 1 species
UGGGGAAUCUUGCACAAUGGGCGAAAGCCUGAUGCAGCGACGCCGCGUGCGGGAAGAAGGCCUUCGGGUUGUAAACCGCUUUCAGGAGGGACGAAGCUACUCGGGUUAAUAGCCCAGAGGGUGACGGUACCUCCAGAAGAAGCCCCGGCUAACUACGUGCCAGCAGCCGCGGUAAUACGUAGGGGGCAAGCGUUGUCCGGAUUUAUUGGGCGUAAAGCGCGUGUAGGCGGCCAGGUAGGUCUGCUGUGAAAACUCGAGGCUCAACCUCGAGAUGUCGGCAGAAACCCUCUGGCUAGAGUCCGGAAGAGGAGAGUGGAAUUCCCGGUGUAGCGGUGAAAUGCGCAGAUAUCGGGAAGAACACCCGUGGCGAAGGCGGCUCUCUGGGACGGUACUGACGCUGAGACGCGAAAGCGUGGGGAGCGAACAG